UACGUAGGGUGCGAGCGUUGUCCGGAAUUAUUGGGCGUAAAGGGCGCGUAGGCGGCGGGCCAAGCGUGCGGUGAAAGUCCGGGGCUCAACCCCGGAUCUGCCGUGCGGACUGGUUUGCUAGAGCACUGUAGAGGCGAGUGGAAUUCCGGGUGUAGCGGUGGAAUGCGUAGAGAUCCGGAAGAACACCGGUGGCGAAGGCGGCUCGCUGGGCAGUGGCUGACGCUGAGGCGCGACAGCGUGGGGAGCGAACAGG
rnacentral:rRNA from 1 species